GUCCACGCUGUAAACGAUGGGCACUAGAUGCUGCGGGUAUUGACCCCUGCGGUGUCGUAGUUAACGCGUUAAGUGCCCCGCCUGGGGAGUACGGUCGCAAGAUUAAAACUCAAAGGAAUUGACGGGGGCCCGCACAAGCGGUGGAGCAUGUGGUUUAAUUCGACGCAACGCGAAGAACCUUACCUGGGUUAGACAACGGUAGACAGCCUCAGAGAUGAGGUCUUCUCUUCGGAGACUGCCGGUUCAGGUGCUGCAUGGCUGUCGU
rnacentral:rRNA from 1 species